rnacentral:tRNA from 1 species
GUAGUAGUGGCUUUUGUCUCGUAAGUUUCGGCCUUACUAAUAAAAUCUUUUUUGAUUUUCUACUAUU